rnacentral:lncRNA from 1 species
UUUGGUUAACUGUUGAUCAUCCUUCCUUCCAUACCUCGUCUUGUGGUGUAUUUCCCAUAGAUUUUCAGCAUUUUCAACAUCAAAAUAUGAUCAUAUUCAGAUCUCAAAGAUUUCUAUAAAAUCACACACCACGAAUUAGCAAUUUAAAAAACACUAUAUCCAUGAUGAUGAAUCAAAACAAAAGCUAAAACUAGGCUAGUUCAUGUUGAUCUUCCACUUAUCGUUCCACUUCUACACUUAAUCAAAUUGAACUUUAUACUUCACCAAAAAUUUAUUUCACUCAUAAUCACACAUUAAAACCAUUUGGAAUACAUUAAACACAAUAGAAUCCAUCA